rnacentral:lncRNA from 1 species
CUCUUUGAAAUCCAUCUGCCCAACAGUUGCAAGCCCCAGCUGCUGCCUUGAGGCUUCAGGCGGUGGGGAGAGAAUCAAUUAUCCGACCUCAGCCGCUGCAGCCUGUGCCCCAGCCACGCCUAUGAAGCUGCGCUUAAUGUGGACCUAAGCACUCCAACAACUGCCUUUUGCCCGUGGUCCCCACCUGGCAACGCGAUAAACAUGGUCUCCGCUAUCAGGAGAGUUUAGCAACACCGGAGAUAGGGACCAGCAUGCACUGCACCUUCCGUGUCAGACGCCUUGUGCACAAUUUUCUCUCUCUGUGUUUCAUGCUUACAGUUCAAGACGGGAAGCCCCAGCAUCAAGUGUCUGCCGCCACUUCUGCUGCCUGCUGCCUGCUGCCAUGCUUCCCCGCCAGGAUAGACUCUGACCUGCAGGAAUUAUCAGCCCCAAAACAAACCUUUUCUUCUAUAAGUCACCUUGUUCAUGUGUUUAUGACAAUGCCGGAAAGGUAAUAAAUACCUCAGAAAAAACAACCAUCACAAUUCCAAGUUCAUGUUCUGUGGGCAUGGAAAACAAGCCUUUCAACAGCCUGCCCCUGUGCAUCCGAGUGACUGGCAGAUUAAAGCCCUGUGCUCUUUGACAAA